rnacentral:rRNA from 1 species
CUCUUCGGGGAUGAUUAAACCGGCGCACGGGUGAGUAACACGUGAGUGACCUGCCUUUUAGACUGGAACAACUUACCGAAAGGUGAGCUAAUGCCGGAUGAGUUAUAUAAGUGCAUGUUUAUAUAGGAAAAGUUGGGGAGACCUGACGCUGAAAGAUGGACUCGCGUCCCAUUAGCUAGUUGGUAGGGUAAUGGCCUACCAAGGCGACGAUGGGUAGCCGGCCUGAGAGGGUGGCCGGCCACACUGGGACUGAGACACGGCCCAGACUCCUACGGGAGGCAGCAGUGGGGAAUUUUGCGCAAUGCUCGUAAGAGUGACGCAGCGACGCCGCGUGAAUGACGAAGGCCUUCGGGUCGUAAAGUUCUUUCGACAGGGAAGAAAAUGCCUAUAAGUAACUGUGUAUGUAUUGACGGUACCUGUAUAAGCAGCCCCGGCUAACUCCGUGCCAGCAGCCGCGGUAAUACGGAGGGGGCGAGCGUUGUUCGGAGUGACUGGGCGUAAAGAGCACGUAGGCGGUGUUGUAAGUCAUUAGUCAAAGACUAGAGCUCAACUUUAGUAAGGCUAGUGAUACUAUAAUACUAGAGUAUCAGAGAGGAUUGCAGAAUUCCUGGUGUAGCGGUGAAAUGCGUAGAUAUCAGGAGGAAUACCGUUAGCGAAGGCGGCAAUCUGGCUGGAAACUGACGCUGAGGUGCGAAAGCGUGGGUAGCAAACAGGAUUAGAUACCCUGGUAGUCCACGCUGUAAACGAUGGAUGCUAGGUGUUGGGCUUUUAAGUUCAGUGCCGCAGCAAACGCGAUAAGCAUCCCGCCUGGGGAGUACGUUUGCAAG